UACGUAGGAGGCAAGCGUUGUCCGGAAUCACUGGGCGUAAAGAGCGUGUAGGCGGUCUGCCAAGUCUGUUGUGAAAGCCCCGGGCUCAACCUGGGAAUGGCAAUGGAUACUGGCAGGCUAGAGUGCGGUAGAGGGUAGUGGAAUUCCCGGUGUAGCGGUGAAAUGCGUAGAGAUCGGGAGGAACACCAGUGGCGAAGGCGGCUACCUGGACCAGCACUGACACUGAGGCACGAAAGCGUGGGGAGCAAACAGG
rnacentral:rRNA from 1 species